AAUCCUUGUAGUUAUUCACCGCAGACAGCAGGUAUGCGCGAGCAAUAAAUCCUGCCGAGGUAGAAAUCUAAUUCUAGUUUUUAGAUUUUGAAGCCUGCGGCGAACAGACUUAUUUUUUUAAACA
rfam:Parcubacteria group bacterium CG2_30_36_38 cg2_3.0_scaffold_4183_c, whole genome shotgun sequence.